AACUUUUGACAACGGAUCUCUAGGCUCUCGCAACGAUGAAGAACGCAGCGAAAUGCGAUACGUAAUGUGAAUUGCAGAAUUCCGUGAAUCAUCGAAUCUUUGAACGCAUAUUGCACCUCUCCGGAGGUAUGCCUGUUUGAGAAUCUAUA
rnacentral:rRNA from 1 species